GACUUGGUACUUUAAAUUAAAAGAUCUGACUUGCAUUCAGAUGAUAAGCUUUUAGGCUUCCGGGUCA
rnacentral:tRNA from 1 species